UUUACAAUCUUACUUGUACAGUCUGUCGCAUCUUAUGUGCAUUUAACACGCACUAUUUCAGCUUUACACGGUCGACAAAAACAAAACAA